UUGAGCCGUGUGCGGUGAAAGUCGCACGCACGGUUCUGAGGGGGCUGGGUGAGCCGCAAGGCUCACCCGGCUACCCGAC
rnacentral:ncRNA from 2 species